AAAAAUAGAUGGUAAAUGUUUUUAUUUUUUAUUCCCUUCGAGAAUCUAUCUCUAAUUAGUGAUUUGGACAUUAGCUGUUCCUUCUAGCGUAAGGGAUUCAUAUAAAUAAUAUAAAUAUAUAGGUGCAGGAGUGGCUGUGUGGUAAGUAGC